rnacentral:rRNA from 1 species
ACCAGCAGGCAUAUCACUCUGCAACUAACACCUGACAACCCACUGAAGCUAAGCAGGUGUGAGUCUGGCCAGUACCUGGAUGGGAGACCUCCUGGGACUAAAACUAAGGUUGCUGCUGGAA